rnacentral:guide_RNA from 1 species
AUUUAAAAUAAUAACAUAAAUUAGAAUACAUGUUCAGAGUUGUAUAUACG